rnacentral:rRNA from 1 species
GUUGGCUUAGAAGCAGCCAUCAUUUAAAGAAAGCGUAAUAGCUCACUGGUCGAGUCGGCCUGCGCGGAAGAUGUAACGGGGCUAAACCAUGCACCGAAGCUGCGGCAGCGACGCUUAUGCGUUGUUGGGUAGGGGAGCGUUCUGUAAGCCUGUGAAGGUGUGCUGUGAGGCAUGCUGGAGGUAUCAGAAGUGCGAAUGCUGACAUAAGUAACGAUAAAGCGGGUGAAAAGCCCGCUCGCCGGAAGACCAAGGGUUCCUGUCCAACGUUAAUCGGGGCAGGGUGAGUCGACCCCUAAGGCGAGGCCGAAAGGCGUAGUCGAUGGGAAACAGGUUAAUAUUCCUGUACUUGGUGUUACUGCGAAGGGGGGACGGAGAAGGCUAUGUUGGCCGGGCGACGGUUGUCCCGGUUUAAGCGUGUAGGCUGGUUUUCCAGGCAAAUCCGGAAAAUCAAGGCUGAGGCGUGAUGACGAGGCACUACGGUGCUGAAGUAACAAAUGCCCUGCUUCCAGGAAAAGCCUCUAAGCAUCAGGUAACAUCAAAUCGUACCCCAAACCGACACAGGUGGUCAGGUAGAGAAUACCAAGGCGCUUGAGAGAACUCGGGUGAAGGAACUAGGCAAAAUGGUGCCGUAACUUCGGGAGAAGGCACGCUGAUAUGUAGGUGAAGCGACUUGCUCGUGGAGCUGAAAUCAGUCGAAGAUACCAGCUGGCUGCAACUGUUUAUUAAAAACACAGCACUGUGCAAACACGAAAGUGGACGUAUACGGUGUGACGCCUGCCCGGUGCCGGAAGGUUAAUUGAUGGGGUCAGCGCAAGCGAAGCUCUUGAUCGAAGCCCCGGUAAACGGCGGCCGUAACUAUAACGGUCCUAAGGUAGCGAAAUUCCUUGUCGGGUAAGUUCCGACCUGCACGAAUGGCGUAAUGAUGGCCAGGCUGUCUCCACCCGAGACUCAGUGAAAUUGAACUCGCUGUGAAGAUGCAGUGUACCCGCGGCAAGACGGAAAGACCCCGUGAACCUUUACUAUAGCUUGACACUGAACAUUGAGCCUUGAUGUGUAGGAUAGGUGGGAGGCUUGGAAGUGUGGACGCCAGUCUGCAUGGAGCCGACCUUGAAAUACCACCCUUUAAUGUUUGAUGUUCUAACGUUGACCCGUAAUCCGGGUUGCGGACAGUGUCUGGUGGGUAGUUUGACUGGGGCGGUCUCCUCCUAAAGAGUAACGGAGGAGCACGAAGGUUGGCUAAUCCUGGUCGGACAUCAGGAGGUUAGUGCAAUGGCAUAAGCCAGCUUGACUGCGAGCGUGACGGCGCGAGCAGGUGCGAAAGCAGGUCAUAGUGAUCCGGUGGUUCUGAAUGGAAGGGCCAUCGCUCAACGGAUAAAAGGUACUCCGGGGAUAACAGGCUGAUACCGCCCAAGAGUUCAUAUCGACGGCGGUGUUUGGCACCUCGAUGUCGGCUCAUCACAUCCUGGGGCUGAAGUAGGUCCCAAGGGUAUGGCUGUUCGCCAUUUAAAGUGGUACGCGAGCUGGGUUUAGAACGUCGUGAGACAGUUCGGUCCCUAUCUGCCGUGGGCGCUGGAGAACUGAGGGGGGCUGCUCCUAGUACGAGAGGACCGGAGUGGACGCAUCACUGGUGUUCGGGUUGUCAUGCCAAUGGCACUGCCCGGUAGCUAAAUGCGGAAGAGAUAAGUGCUGAAAGCAUCUAAGCACGAAACUUGCC